UACAGAGGGUGCAAGCGUUAAUCGGAAUUACUGGGCGUAAAGCGCGCGUAGGUGGUUUGGUAAGUCGGAUGUGAAAUCCCCGGGCUCAACCUGGGAACUGCAUUCGAAACUGCCUGGCUAGAGUUUGAGAGAGGGAAGUGGAAUUCCACAUGUAGCGGUGAAAUGCGUAGAUAUGUGGAGGAAUACCGAUGGCGAAGGCAGCCCCCUGGGUCGAUACUGACGCUCAUGCACGAAAGCGUGGGGAGCAAACAGG
rnacentral:rRNA from 1 species